rnacentral:rRNA from 1 species
ACGAGAAAGGAGACUACGGUCUCCGAGUACAGUGGCGCACGGGUGCGUAACACGUAAGUAAUCUACCCCGAACUCUGGGAUAACCCUCCGAAAGGAGGGCUAACACUGGAUAGGGUCCCCGAGGUGUAAGCCGCGGGGGGAAAACGGGCCUCUGUUGCAUGCCUGUGGUCCGGGAUGAGCUUGCGGCCCAUUAGCUUGUUGGUAGGGUAAUGGCUUACCAAGGCGACGAUGGGUAGCUGGUCUGAGAGGAUGAUCAGCCACACUGGCACUGAGACACGGGCCAGACUCCUACGGGAGGCAGCAGUGGGGAAUUUUGCGCAAUGGGCGAAAGCCUGACGCAGUAACGCCGCGUGGAGGAUGAAGGCCUUCGGGUUGUAAACUCCUGUCAGGAGGAACGACGGGGCAAGGGUGAACAAGUCUUGCCGCCAGACGGUACCUCCAAAGGAAGCCCCGGCUAAUUCCGUGCCAGCAGCCGCGGUAAUACGGAAGGGGCGAGCGUUG